GGUGAGAUGGCCGAGCGGUCUAAGGCGCCAGACUAAGGAUCAGGACAUCAGAUGUCCACAGGAACCAGCAUUAUAUGCAAGUUCAUCUGGUCCUCCGGGGCGUGGGUUCGAAUCCCACUCUCAUCA